GCGACCCCAGGUCAGGCGGGACUCCCCGCUGAGUU
rnacentral:rRNA from 1 species